UACGUAGGGUGCAAGCGUUGUCCGGAUUUAUUGGGCGUAAAGAGCUCGUAGGCGGUCUGUCGCGUCGGAUGUGAAAACCCAGGGCUCAACCCUGGGCCUGCAUUCGAUACGGGCAGACUAGAGUACGGCAGGGGAGACUGGAAUUCCUGGUGUAGCGGUGAAAUGCGCAGAUAUCAGGAGGAACACCAAUGGCGAAGGCAGAUCUCUGGGCCGUAACUGACGCUGAGGAGCGAAAGCAUGGGGAGCGAACAGG
rnacentral:rRNA from 1 species